rnacentral:ncRNA from 1 species
UACCUGGUUGAUCCUGCCAGUAGUCAUAUGCUUGUCUCAAAGAUUAAGCCAUGCAAGUCUAAGUACGAGCUCUCGUACAGUGAAACUGCGAAUGGCUCAUUAAAUCAGUUAUGGUUCAUUUGAUCGUACAGUUUACUUGGAUAACUGUGGUAAUUCUAGAGCUAAUACAUGCGAGAAGCGCCGACCUCGCGGGAGGCGUGCAUUUAUCAGACCAAAAACCGGCCGCGUCUUCGGGCGCGUUCGCCUUGGUGACUCUGGAUAACUUUGCGGAUCGCACGGUCUAGCACCGGCGACGGAUCAUUCAAGUGUCUGCCCUAUCAACUUUCGUCGGUACGGUAUUUGCCUACCGAGGUUCUUACGGGUGACGGGGAAUCAGGGUUCGAUUCCGGAGAGGGAGCCUGAGUAACGGCUACCACAUCCAAGGAAGGCAGCAGGCGCGCAAAUUACCCAUUCCCGACGCGGGGAGGUAGUGACGAAAAAUAACAAUGCAGGACUCGUUCGAGGCCCUGUAAUUGGAAUGAGUACACUUUAAAAGCUUUAACGAGUAUCCAUUGGAGGGCAAGUCUGGUGCCAGCAGCCGCGGUAAUUCCAGCUCCAAAAGUAUAUAUUUAAGUUGUUGCGGUUAAAAAGCUCGUAGUUGGAUUUUGGGCGCAGGCGGCCGGUCCGUCGCAAGGCGUGUACUGGACGUCCUGGCCUUCCCUCCGGUUCUCCGCCGGUGCUCUUGACUGAGUGUCGGCGGCGGCCGGAACGUUUACUUUGAAAAAAUUAGAGUGUUCAAAGCAGGCUCUCGAGCCUGGAUAAUAGUGCAUGGAAUAAUGGAAUAGGACCUCGG